UACGGAGGGUGCAAGCGUUAAUCGGAAUUACUGGGCGUAAAGCGUGCGCAGGCGGUUUGUUAAGUCCGUUGUGAAAGCCCCGAGCUCAACUUGGGAAUCGCAGUGGAUACUGGCAGGCUGGAGUACGGUAGAGGAAGGUGGAAUUCCCGGUGUAGCAGUGAAAUGCGUAGAUAUCGGGAGGAACACCAGUGGCGAAGGCGGCCUUCUGGACCAGUACUGACGCUCAUGCACGAAAGCGUGGGGAGCAAACAGG
rnacentral:rRNA from 1 species